rnacentral:rRNA from 1 species
UGCCAGCAUCCUCGGUAAUACAUAGGGGUCAAGCUUGAUCCGGAAUCAUUGGGUUUAAAGGGUCCGUAGGCGGUCUGGUAAGUCAGAGGUGAAAUCCUGCAGCUCAACUGUAGCAUUGCCUUUGAUACUGCCAGACUUGAGUUAUUGUGAAGUAAUUAGAAUGUGUAGUGUAGCGGUGAAAUGCAUAGAUAUUACACAGAAUACCGAUUGCGAAAGCAGAUUACUAACAAUAUACUGACGCUGAGGGACGAAAGCGUGGGUAGCGAACAGGAUUAGAUA